CCUACGGGCGGCAGCAGUGGGGAAUAUUGCACAAUGGGGGAAACCCUGAUGCAGCGACGCCGCGUGAGUGAAGAAGUAAUUCGUUAUGUAACACUAUAUCAGCAGGGAAGAAAAUGACGGUACCUGAGUCAGAAGCCCCGGCUCACUACGUUCCAGCAGCCGCGGUAAUACGUAGGGGGCAAGCGUUAUCCGGACUUACUGGGUGUUAAGGGAUCGUAGACGGCAUUGCAAGUCUGGAGUGAAAGGCGGGGGCUCAACCCCCGGACUGAGCUGGAACCUGUACGGCUGGAGUGCAGGAGAGGUAAGUGGAAUUCCGAGUGUAGCGGUGAAAUGCGUAGAUAUUAGGAGGAACACCAGUGGCGAAGGCGGCUUACUGGACUGUAACUGACGUUGAGGCUCGAAAGCGUGGGGAGCAAACAGGAUUAGAUACCCCUGUAGUC
rnacentral:rRNA from 1 species